AACGAACGUUGGCGGCGUGGAUUAGGCAUGCAAGUCGCGGGAAUCCCAGCAAAUGGGGGAACCGGGCGUAAGGGGCGAGUAAGGCAUGGGUACCUACCCUGGGGUUCGGGAUAGCCUUCAGAAAUGGAGGGUAAUACCGGAUGACGUCGUGAGACCAAAGGUCCGCCGCCCUGGGAGGGGCCCAUGUGAUAUUAGCUAGUUGGUGAGGUAAUGGCUCACCAAGGCGAAGAUGUCUAGCGGGUGUGAGAGCACGACCCGCGCCACUCGCACUGAGACACUGGCGAGACACCUACGGGUGGCUGCAGUCGAGGAUCUUCGGCAAUGGGCGCAAGCCUGACCGAGCGACGCCGCGUGUGCGAUGAAGGCCUUCGGUUGU
rnacentral:rRNA from 1 species